rnacentral:rRNA from 1 species
UACGUAGGGUGCGAGCGUUAAUCGGAAUUACUGGGCGUAAAGCGUGCGCAGGCGGUUUUGUAAGACGGAUGUGAAAUGCCCAAGCUUAACUUGGGAACUGCAUUCGUGACUGCAUCACUAGAGUGAGAUAGAGGGGGAUAGAAUUCCACGUGUAGCAGUGAAAUGCGUAGAUAUGUGGAGGAAUACCGAUGGCGAAGGCAAUCCCCUGGGUCUCUACUGACGCUCAUGCACGAAAGCGUGGGGAGCAAACAGG